rnacentral:rRNA from 4 species
AAAAGAAACCAACCGGGAUUGCCUCAGUAACGGCGAGUGAAGCGGCAAGAGCUCAAAUUUGAAAUCUGGCCCCUUUGGGGUCCGAGUUGUAAUUUGCAGAGGAUGCUUCGGGUGCGGUCCCCGUCUAAGUGCCCUGGAACGGGCCGUCAUAGAGGGUGAGAAUCCCGUCUGGGAUGGGCGGCCGCGCCCGUGUGAAGCUCCUUCGACGAGUCGAGUUGUUUGGGAAUGCAGCUCUAAGCGGGUGGUAAAUUUCAUCUAAAGCUAAAUACUGGCCGGAGACCGAUAGCGCACAAGUAGAGUGAUCGAAAGAUGAAAAGCACUUUGAAAAGAGAGUUAAACAGCACGUGAAAUUGUUGAAAGGGAAGCGUUGUCCACCAGACUCGCCCGGGGGGGUUCAGCCGGCACGUGUGCCGGUGUACUCCUCUCCGGGCGGGCCAGCAUCGGUUUGGGCGGCUGGUGAAAGGCCCCGGGAAUGUGCCACCCUUCGGGGUGCCUUAUAGCCCGGGGUGCCAUGCAGCCAGCCUGGACCGAGGCCCGCGCUUCGGCGAG